rnacentral:rRNA from 1 species
UACGUAGGGGGCUAGCGUUGUCCGGAAUCAUUGGGCGUAAAGAGCGUGUAGGCGGUUCGGUAAGUCCGCUGUGAAAGUCGGGGGCUCAACCCUCGGAUGCCGGUGGAUACUGUCGGGCUAGAGUGCGGAAGAGGCGAGUGGAAUUCCUGGUGUAGCGGUGAAAUGCGUAGAUAUCAGGAGGAACACCGGUGGCGAAGGCGGGUCUCUGGGCAGUAACUGACGCUGAGGAGCGAAAGCGUGGGGAGCAAACAGG